rnacentral:rRNA from 1 species
AGCGUACACGGUGGAUGCCCUGGCAGUCAGAGGCGAUGAAGGACGUGCUAAUCUGCGAUAAGCGUCGGUAAGGUGAUAUGAACCGUUAUAACCGGCGAUUUCCGAAUGGGGAAACCCAGUGUGUUUCGACACACUAUCAUUAACUGAAUCCAUAGGUUAAUGAGGCGAACCGGGGGAACUGAAACAUCUAAGUACCCCGAGGAAAAGAAAUCAACCGAGAUUCCCCCAGUAGCGGCGAGCGAACGGGGAGCAGCCCAGAGCCUGAAUCAGUGUGUGUGUUAGUGGAAGCGUCUGGAAAGGCGCGCGAUACAGGGUGACAGCCCCGUACACAAAAAUGCACAUGCUGUGAGCUCGAUGAGUAGGGCGGGACACGUGGUAUCCUGUCUGAAUAUGGGGGGACCAUCCUCCAAGGCUAAAUACUCCUGACUGACCGAUAGUGAACCAGUACCGUGAGGGAAAGGCGAAAAGAACCCCGGCGAGGGGAGUGAAAAAGAACCUGAAACCGUGUACGUACAAGCAGUGGGAGCACGCUUAGGCGUGUGACUGCGUACCUUUUGUAUAAUGGGUCAGCGACUUAUAUUCUGUAGCAAGGUUAACCGAAUAGGGGAGCCGAAGGGAAACCGAGUCUUAACUGGGCGUUAAGUUGCAGGGUAUAGACCCGAAACCCGGUGAUCUAGCCAUGGGCAGGUUGAAGGUUGGGUAACACUAACUGGAGGACCGAACCGACUAAUGUUGAAAAAUUAGCGGAUGACUUGUGGCUGGGGGUGAAAGGCCAAUCAAACCGGGAGAUAGCUGGUUCUCCCCGAAAGCUAUUUAGGUAGCGCCUCGUGAAUUCAUCUCCGGGGGUAGAGCACUGUUUCGGCAAGGGGGUCAUCCCGACUUACCAACCCGAUGCAAACUGCGAAUACCGGAGAAUGUUAUCACGGGAGACACACGGCGGGUGCUAACGUCCGUCGUGAAGAGGGAAACAACCCAGACCGCCAGCUAAGGUCCCAAAGUCAUGGUUAAGUGGGAAACGAUGUGGGAAGGCCCAGACAGCCAGGAUGUUGGCUUAGAAGCAGCCAUCAUUUAAAGAAAGCGUAAUAGCUCACUGGUCGAGUCGGCCUGCGCGGAAGAUGUAACGGGGCUAAACCAUGCACCGAAGCUGCGGCAGCGACGCUUAUGCGUUGUUGGGUAGGGGAGCGUUCUGUAAGCCUGCGAAGGUGUGCUGUGAGGCAUGCUGGAGGUAUCAGAAGUGCGAAUGCUGACAUAAGUAACGAUAAAGCGGGUGAAAAGCCCGCUCGCCGGAAGACCAAGGGUUCCUGUCCAACGUUAAUCGGGGCAGGGUGAGUCGACCCCUAAGGCGAGGCCGAAAGGCGUAGUCGAUGGGAAACAGGUUAAUAUUCCUGUACUUGGUGUUACUGCGAAGGGGGGACGGAGAAGGCUAUGUUGGCCGGGCGACGGUUGUCCCGGUUUAAGCGUGUAGGCUGGUUUUCCAGGCAAAUCCGGAAAAUCAAGGCUGAGGCGUGAUGACGAGGCACUACGGUGCUGAAGCAACAAAUGCCCUGCUUCCAGGAAAAGCCUCUAAGCAUCAGGUAACAUCAAAUCGUACCCCAAACCGACACAGGUGGUCAGGUAGAGAAUACCAAGGCGCUUGAGAGAACUCGGGUGAAGGAACUAGGCAAAAUGGUGCCGUAACUUCGGGAGAAGGCACGCUGAUAUGUAGGUGAAGUCCCUCGCGGAUGGAGCUGAAAUCAGUCGAAGAUACCAGCUGGCUGCAACUGUUUAUUAAAAACACAGCACUGUGCAAACACGAAAGUGGACGUAUACGGUGUGACGCCUGCCCGGUGCCGGAAGGUUAAUUGAUGGGGUUAGCGGUAACGCGAAGCUCUUGAUCGAAGCCCCGGUAAACGGCGGCCGUAACUAUAACGGUCCUAAGGUAGCGAAAUUCCUUGUCGGGUAAGUUCCGACCUGCACGAAUGGCGUAAUGAUGGCCAGGCUGUCUCCACCCGAGACUCAGUGAAAUUGAACUCGCUGUGAAGAUGCAGUGUACCCGCGGCAAGACGGAAAGACCCCGUGAACCUUUACUAUAGCUUGACACUGAACAUUGAGCCUUGAUGUGUAGGAUAGGUGGGAGGCUUUGAAGUGUGGACGCCAGUCUGCAUGGAGCCGACCUUGAAAUACCACCCUUUAAUGUUUGAUGUUCUAACGUUGACCCGUAAUCCGGGUUGCGGACAGUGUCUGGUGGGUAGUUUGACUGGGGCGGUCUCCUCCUAAAGA